rnacentral:rRNA from 1 species
GAUGAACGCUGGCGGCGUGCCUAAUACAUGCAAGUCGAGCGAACAGACGAGGAGCUUGCUCCUCUGACGUUAGCGGCGGACGGGUGAGUAACACGUGGAUAACCUACCUAUAAGACUGGGAUAACUUCGGGAAACCGGAGCUAAUACCGGAUAAUAUAUUGAACCGCAUGGUUCAAUAGUGAAAGACGGUUUUGCUGUCACUUAUAGAUGGAUCCGCGCCGCAUUAGCUAGUUGGUAAGGUAACGGCUUACCAAGACGACGAUGCGUAGCCGACCUGAGAGGGUGAUCGGCCACACUGGAACUGAGACACGGUCCAGACUCCUACGGGAGGCAGCAGUAGGGAAUCUUCCGCAAAGGGCGAAAGCCUGACGGAGCAACGCCGCGUGAGUGAUGAAGGUCUUCGGAUCGUAAAACUCUGUUAUUAGGGAAGAACAAAUGUGUAAGUAACUAUGCACGUCUUGACGGUACCUAAUCAGAAAGCCACGGCUAACUACGUG